UAUAACUUUAGGAAGUGUAGCGAUUACGCUAUUAAUUAAAUAAAUUCAACUAGAAUUCCAUUCAAUUCAAAGCCCCUAAAUAAACCCUUGUGUGACGCUAGUGGUCAGCGUAGAAAUAUAUACAGUCGUCUACAGCGCAGGCUUGCCCACUGUCGAAAGGAAAUCGAAUUUCCGAUGAAGAUCAAUGAUUUAGUCAGGUACGCUCGCUCAAUAGUAAACAUGCAAACGUAAAAUCUUCAGAGGGACGAAUUUCUGGAAUAAAUGAAAUAAAUGAAUACCAUCGGAUAAAUUACAUACAACCAACUAUUUCAAAAAACAAAGUUUCAAUAAAUGUUCGGAGUAAACAAAGUGACAAAGCAAGUAAAUAUCCAAUAAUUUGUAUAUGAAGAAAUGAGCAAUGCUGUUAUGGCGUAAGCAAUGAAGUUUGCAUGUUAGUUCCAGAGUUCGUCCCUAUAUCCAGAACCAGUUUUUUUUGUAAACACAGAAACAUACCAAUAUCUACUACCAUUACCUCUACUUGAUACAGGAGCUCUUCCACACAGGGACAGCUUUACAUUGGACUUUAUAGGAGCCACGAGGACCUCACCCAUCCUGUUGGACUUGAUUUGGAUCAGUGAUUGUAAAAGCUAAGCUAAUUUUUAUCUAUAUUAUUUGCAUUUCAUAGUACUAUUUACCUUUUGUUUACAUUUACUUUUGUGAACUUCUUGUGUGCACACAAUCAAGCAACUUAAGUAUAGAGUUUUGAAUAAAUGGGGGGGGGGGGGUUGGUUUUUGUUUUUAUUAAUAAUAGUAGGGUAUAAAAAUACAUGUGUUAAAAUAAACUAGAUAAUGGUAUAAAUAAUAAGUAAUUCAAUCAGUUUUAAAAUUAAAUAAGGGAAGGGGUAAUAAUAAUAAUUAAAUAUAAUAUAUUAUAGAGAGGUUUUAAAUACUAUUUGAGUGAGCAUCAUUUGAUUUGCGUAGAGUAUAUUACCUGACUCGUUGUUUUGUUGAAAAUGUUAGAAUUCUCCCAGUGUCUGUGUUAAGUGUCAUACUUACACAUAGCCUGGUAUUUGAGUGCUCUGGACACUUGUCAGUCCAAUUAGUUUCUUUAAUAUAUUACUAACCUUAAGUUAAGACUUUAGCUAUUCACACGGACUUUGACUGUUUACUAAUAUAUAACUUUUCCUUGGCCAGUAGUAGUGGUUCUUUUAAUUAUAGUGGCUGUUAGGUCCUCUCUCACUGUUAUACCACCCACUACUACUGUUAUUUAUAUGUUAUGUAGAUGUAUAAUAUAAGAUAUUUAUACAUAAUGUUCAAUCAUUAAUUGUUGAUAAAUAUAUUGAUUGUUACUA